AUAGCAACAGAGAAAGGCAUACGGUAGAUGACAGAAAUAGAGAGAGGGAGAGAGAGAAAGAGAGCCAGCAGAGGUGUAAACUCCGGCGAACUAAGCGGUUCCGGCGAACAACAGAGAAAAACUCCGGUGAACUAAGGCGGUUCAGGCAAACAACAGAGAGAAACUCCGGCGAGCUAGGGCGGUUCCGGCGAAAAUACAAGAAAGAACUCCGUGACAAAUUGAGGUGUCCUCAUGAUAAAAUCAUCUUCUUCCAUUGACCGGAGGUGUGCGGUGGGUGGUGGUGGCCGGAGGUGUGCGGUGGGUGGUGGUGGCCGGAGGUGUGCAGUGGGUGGUGGUGGUCGAAGCUGUGCGGUGGGUGGUGGUGGCCGGACGGCUGUAUUUAAGGUCUAAUUUGACCACAAGUGUAAUUUGAUAGAUAAUCAGGUCUAAUUUGAUAGAUGGUUGGAGGUUUAUGUAUUAAUAAACCAUGUUUGGUUUUAGUUUUCAUAUUAAUGAAGGUUUCAGUUUCCUAUUAAAAAAAAAAGUCUGUGUUGGUUUAUGGGAAGUUGUAACAAUUAAUUUGGUUGAUGAAAAGUUGAAAUAAUAUAGUUGACUUGUGGGCACGAUUACAAA